ensembl:snoRNA
CUCAUCAAUGAUGACUACUUGGUGGCGUAUGAGCCAGAUACAACAAAUACGUGUCUGGGACUCCGAGGUCCAU